AGAAGCAUAAGCUUUAUGGAAGCAACGGCCUAAAACUCAACCUAAUCCCAAAUCCCAGGCUCGUCGUAUUCGGAAGGAACCACCAGUUUAUGCAGCAGGCAGUUUGGAGGAACAAUGGUACUUAGAAAUCGUGGAUAAAGGCAGUGUCUCCUGUCCUACCUGCCAGGCGGUAGGGAGGAAGACAAUAGAGGGCUUAAAGAAACACAUGGAGACGUGCAAACAGGUUAGAGAUUUUGUGGCAUUUUGUGAUG